rnacentral:rRNA from 1 species
CCUACGGGAGGCUGCAGUGGGGAAUAUUGGACAAUGGGCGAAAGCCUGAUCCAGCCAUGCCGCGUGUGUGAAGAAGGCCUUCGGGUUGUAAAGCACUUUCAGUGGGGAAGAAAGCCUUGGGGCUAAUACCCUCGAGGAAGGACAUCACCCACAGAAGAAGCACCGGCUAACUCCGUGCCAGCAGCCGCGGUAAUACGGAGGGUGCGAGCGUUAAUCGGAAUUACUGGGCGUAAAGCGCGCGUAGGCGGUCUGAUAAGCCGGUUGUGAAAGCCCCGGGCUCAACCUGGGAACGGCAUCCGGAACUGUCAGGCUAGAGUGCAGGAGAGGAAGGUAGAAUUCCCGGUGUAGCGGUGAAAUGCGUAGAGAUCGGGAGGAAUACCAGUGGCGAAGGUGGCCUUCUGGACUGACACUGACGCUGAGGUGCGAAAGCGUGGGUAGCAAACAGGAUUAGAUACCCUAGUAGUC